GAGGCAGCAGUGGGGAAUAUUGCACAAUGGGCGCAAGCCUGAUGCAGCCAUGCCGCGUGUAUGAAGAAGGCCUUCGGGUUGUAAAGUACUUUCAGUCGUGAGGAAGGCAUUAACGUUAAUAGCGUUAGUGUUUGACGUUAGCGACAGAAGAAGCACCGGCUAACUCCGUGCCAGCAGCCGCGGUAAUACGGAGGGUGCGAGCGUUAAUCGGAAUUACUGGGCGUAAAGCGCAUGCAGGUGGUUUGUUAAGUCAGAUGUGAAAGCCCGGGGCUCAACCUCGGAACCGCAUUUGAAACUGGCAGGCUAGAGUACUGUAGAGGGGGGUAGAAUUUCAGGUGUAGCGGUGAAAUGCGUAGAGAUCUGAAGGAAUACCAGUGGCGAAGGCGGCCCCCUGGACAGAUACUGACACUCAGAUGCGAAAGCGUGGGGAGCAAACAGGAUUAGAUACCCUGGUAGUCCACGCCGUAAACGAUGUCUACUUGGAGGUUGUGGCCUUGAGCCGUGGCUUUCGGAGCUAACGCGUUAAGUAGACCGCCUGGGGAGUACGGUCGCAAGAUUAAAACUCAAAUGAAUUGACGGGGGCCCGCACAAGCGGUGGAGCAUGUGGUUUAAUUCGAUGCAACGCGAAGAACCUUACCUACUCUUGACAUCCAGAGAACUUUUCAGAGAUGAAUUGGUGCCUUCGGGAACUCUGAGACAGGUG
rnacentral:rRNA from 1 species